UUCUGGUUGAUCCCGCCAGACCCCACCGCUAUCGGGAUGGGGUUAAGACAUGCUAGUCGUGCGCCUCCUAGCCAUGGUGGAGGCGCGGCGCACAGCUCAGUAGCACGUGGCUAACCUACCCUUAGGACGGAAACACCCCCGGGAAACUGGGGUCAAUUUCCGAUAGGUGAGGAAUCCUGGAAUGGGUCUUUGCCUAAAGGGCGUUUAGGGCAUGCUUCUAGGCGUUGCCUAAGGAUGGGGCCGCGGCCGAUCAGGUUGUUGGUGAGGUAAUGGCUCACCAAGCCUUUAACCGGUUCGGGCCGUGGGAGCGGAAGCCCGGAGAUGGGUGCUGAGACAAGAACCCAGGCCCUACGGGGCGCAGCAGUCGCGAAAACUUCGCAAUAAGCGAAAGCUUGACGGGGCUAUCCCGAGUGCCGUCUGCUGAAGAUGGCUUUUACCUAGUGUAGAUAGCUGGGAGAAUAAGGGGAGGGCAAGUCUGGUGUCAGCCGCCGCGGUAAUACCAGCUCUCCGAGUGGUGGGGAUGAUUAUUGGGCCUAAAGCAUCCGUAGCCGGCUGGACAAGUCCCCUGUUAAAUCCAACGAUCCAAUCGUUGGUCUGCGGGGGAUACUGUCCGGCUUGGGGGCGGGAGAGGCCGCCGGUAUUUCCGGGGUAGGGGUGAAAUCCUAUAAUCCCGGGAGGACCGCCAGUGGCGAAGGCUGUCGGCUAGAACGCGCCCGACGGUGAGGGAUGAAAGCUGGGGGAGCGAACCGGAUUAGAUACCCGGGUAGUCCCAGCUGUAAACGAUGCAGGCUAGGUGUUAGGGCGGCUACGUGCCGCUCUAGUGCCGCAGGGAAGCUGUUAAGCCUGCCGCCUGGGGAGUACGGUCGCAAGGCUGAAACUUAAAGGAAUUGGCGGGGGAGCACCACAAGGCGUGAAGCUUGCGGUUUAAAUGGAGUCAACGCCGG
rnacentral:rRNA from 1 species